GGCUAUCAGCAUGGAGUGGGUAAAGACUUCGAUAUUCCAAUGGCUCAGUCAACAUUUUGUUGCAUCUUAAAAGAAGUAUUGGGAUUGCUUCAGUCCCAUUUGUGCCCUCAGUGGAUAAACCUCGAGUUAAGUAACGUUGAAAAAAGGGAAGCGAAAAAGGAUUUUUUUCAGAAAUACGGAUUUCCAGGCGCGAUUUUGUGUGUAGACGGGACACAUAUUAAAAUCGUUGCUCCAACUAAAGAUAAGUUUCUCUAUUAUAACCGCAAAGGAUAAUUUAGUAUCAAUGCCAUGAUUAUAUGUGACAAUAAAAUGAAAAUACGUUAUGUGAACGCUCAGUUUCCUGGCAGCAAUCACGACUCGCACAUAUGGAAUGUCAGCAAUGCUCGUUAUUUUCUUGAGAAAAAGUACCUCGAUGGUGA